rnacentral:rRNA from 1 species
CUGUCGCCGGUGAUGUAGGCUCUGCUUUGUGGGUGGGGUUGACGGUAGCCGGGGUAUGAAGUGCCGGCUAACUACGUGCCAGCAGCCGCGGUAAUACGUAGGGCGCGAGCGUUGUCCGGAAUUAUUGGGCGUAAAGGGCUCGUAGGCGGCUGGUCGCGUCUGUCGUGAAAUCCUCUGGCUUAACUGGGGGCGUGCGGUGGGUACGGGCCGGCUUGAGUGCGGUAGGGGAGGCUGGAAUUCCUGGUGUAGCGGUGGAAUGCGCAGAUAUCAGGAGGAACACCGGUGGCGAAGGCGGGUCUCUGGGCCGUGUACUGACGCUGAGGAGCGAAAGCGUGGGGAGCGAACAGGAUUAGAUACCCUGGUAGUCCAUGCUGUAAACGUUGGGCACUAGGUGUGGGGGGUCUUUCCGGGUCUUCCGCGCCGUAGCUAACGCAUUAAGUGCCCCGCCUGGGGAGUACGGCCGCAAGGCUAAAACUCAAAGGAAUUGACGGGGGCCCGCACAAGCGGCGGAGCAUGCGGAUUAAUUCGAUGCAACGCGAAGAACCUUACCAAGGUUUGACAUGGGCCGGUGGUUCCCGGAGACGGGAGCGUCCCCUUUUUGUGGGCUGGUUCACAGGUGGUGCAUGGUUGUCGUCAGCUCGUGUCGUGAGAUGUUGGGUUAAGUCCCGCAACGAGCGCAACCCUUGUCUCGUGUUGCCAGCACGUUGUGGUGGGGACUCGCGGGAGACUGCCGGGGUCAACUCGGAGGAGGGUGGGGAUGACGUCAAAUCAUCAUGCCCCUUAUGUUUUGGGCUUCACGCAUGCUACAAUGGCCGGUACAGUGGGUUGCGAUGUCGUGAGGCGGAGCGAAUCCCUGAAAGCCGGUCUCAGUUCGGAUCGGUGUCUGCAACUCGACACCGUGAAGUUGGAGUCGCUAGUAAUCGCAGAUCAGCAACGCUGCGGUGAAUACGUUCUCGGGCCUUGUACACACCGCCCGUCACGUCAUGAAAGUCGGCAACACCCGAAGCCCGUGGCCUUAUGGGGAGCGGUCGAAGGUGGGGCUGGUGAUUGGGACGAAGUCGUAACAAGGUAGCCGUACCGGAAGGUGC